GACGAACGCUGGCGGCGUGCUUAACACAUGCAAGUCGAGCGGUAAGGCCCUUCGGGGUACACGAGUGGCGAACGGGUGAGUAACACGUGGGUGAUCUGCCCUGCACUUCGGGAUAAGCCUGGGAAACUGGGUCUAAUACCGGAUAGGACUCCUGGCUUCAUGGUUGGGGGUGGAAAGCUUUUGCGGUGUGGGAUGGGCCCGCGGCCUAUCAGCUUGUUGGUGGGGUAAUGGCCGACCAAGGCGACGACGGGUAGCCGGCCUGAGAGGGUGACCGGUCACACUGGGACUGAGAUACGGCCCAGACUCCUACGGGAGGCAGCAGUGGGGAAUAUUGCACAAUGGGCGCAAGCCUGAUGCAGCGACGCCGCGUGAGGGAUGACGGCCUUCGGGUUGUAAACCUCUUUCAGCUAUGACGAAGCGCAAGUGACGGUAGUAGCAGAAGAAGGACCGGCCAACUACGUGCCAGCCGCCGCAGUAA
rnacentral:rRNA from 1 species